rnacentral:rRNA from 1 species
CGCGUAGGCGGCAUGGCGUGUCGGAUGUGAAAUCCCCGGGCUCAACCCGGGAAGUGCGUCCGAAACUGCCAGGCUAGAGUGCGGAAUGGGAGAUCGGAAUGCAGGGUGUAGCGGUGAAAUGCGUUGAUAUCCUGCAGAACACCGGCGGCGAAGGCGGAUCUCUGGUACGCAACUGACGCUCAGGCGAGAAGGGUCGGGGAGCAAACA